GCUGGCGGCGUGCUUAACACAUGCAAGUCGAACGGAAACAGCAGGGGCUUGCCCCUGGCUGUCGAGUGGCGCACGGGUGAGUAAUGUAUAGCUAACAUGCCCCAUAGAGGGGGAUAACGUCUGGAAACGGACGCUAAUACCCCAUACUCCUUAUAGUUGAGAUACUAUAAGGGAAAUGGAUUUCCGCUAUGGGAUUGGGCUAUAUGGUAUCAGCUAGUUGGUAAGGUAAUGGCUUACCAAGGCAAUGACGCCUAACUGGUCUGAGAGGAUGAUCAGUCACACUGGAACUGAGACACGGUCCAGACUCCUACGGGAGGCAGCAGUGGGGAAUAUUGCACAAUGGGGGCAACCCUGAUGCAGCAACGCCGCGUGGAGGAUGACGCAUUUCGGUGUGUAAACUCCUUUUAUAUGUCAAGAAAAUGACGGUAGCAUAUGAAUAAGCACCGGCUAACUCCGUGCCAGCAGCCGCGGUAAUACGGAGGGUGCAAGCGUUAUUCGGAAUCACUGGGCGUAAAGGACGCGUAGGCGGGCUAGAAAGUCAGGUGUGAAAGCCUACAGCUUAACUGUAGAACUGCACUUGAAACUCCUAGCCUAGAGUAUGGGAGGGGCAGAUGGAAUUAGUGGUGUAGGGGUAAAAUCCGUAGAUAUCACUAGGAAUACCGAAAGCGAAGGCGAUCUGCUGGAACAUUACUGACGCUAAGGCGUGAAAGCGUGGGGAGCAAACAGGAUUAGAUACCUGGUAGUCCACGCCCUAAACGAUGUUCACUAGUCGUCGGGAUGCUAGUCAUCUCGGUGAUGCACUUAACAGAUUAAGUGAACCGCCUGGGGAGUACGGUCGCAAGAUUAAACUCAAAGGAUAGACGGGGACCGCACA
rnacentral:rRNA from 1 species